rnacentral:rRNA from 1 species
GGGACGGGUGAGUAAUGCUUGGGAAUCUAGCUUAUGGAGGGGGAUAACUACGGGAAACUGUAGCUAAUACCGCGUAAUAUCGAAAGAUUAAAGUGUGGGACCUUUCGGGCCACAUGCCAUAGGAUGAGCCCAAGUGGGAUUAGGUAGUUGGUGAGGUAAAGGCUCACCAAGCCGACGAUCUCUAGCUGGUCUGAGAGGAUGACCAGCCAUACUGGGACUGAGACACGGCCCAG